AGAGGACGAGCAGAGGAUGGGAGCUCAGCUUUGUGCCCAGAGGAGGCUUUGAAGAACUGGGCGUGGUGGAGGCAGCAGCAGCACUGCAGAGGCACCAAGUCAGGAAACCAUGGAGCAUGCGUGGGAGAGGAGCUAAAGAUAAGGCACUUGCUGAAUGCUGAAUAAACCACAUGUCCUAAUUGAAGGCCCGCAGAGUCCAUUGGGAAGGUUCUAGUUCAUGCAACAGAGGAUAGAUCCAUUGUACGGUACUUUCCAGUUAUAAAAGCAGAAAAAUCCUGGAUAAGUGAAACCAAAAUAAAGUCUUUUCAGACACAACUGAACUUAGUAGAAAGGAAGAAAAAUCCCCAUAUUCUAGAAAUGAAAAGGAAACGUAAAGCUAGAAAAGGAAGCUUGUGGUCAGAUGCUUUGGCCAGCAGAGGGGCAGAAUCAUCUGGACAGAGAGGCUCAUGGCUUGGGGCUGGGGACCAAAUGCCCUUGCUGGGACGGAAGGUGGGGUCGAGGACCUGCAGAAGGCUGGAGCUGUACUGAGAUAUUCUAUUCAGAGCUGGAACUCUGAAAGGGACAUCCUUCCACGAAGCGAAGCUCAGAACAGAAGCAAUGAUGAAGCCACUGUCAGCCUGGAGUGUGGCGUGUGCGCACUAUCAAAGCGUCAGGUGUGGGUCAGGUACAGAGGUGGUAGGGAGCACGAGCGUAUAUUCCCACAAGGUUUGGAAAUCCCCAGAAAAGAGCAUGAAAUGGGACUUAGGCAGGUGCCCUGCAAAAGCAAAGGCUAAGCCACUCUUUGUGGAACUUUCCACAGUCCAGGAUGCACAGAGCACCCAGAGAUAAAUAACUCCACUGGAACAUGAACUUUAAAAUAAGAAUAACAAACUACACAAGAAGCUAUCAACUGUGAGAAAGACUCAGCAGACACGACACACAUGAAAAUAGCACAUAGGAACUCAAGAUUAUCUAUCUGAAAGAAAAGUAAGUGUGCUCUAAUACUUUAAAGGGAAGAGAUAAAACGACUAGAAAUGCAAAUGGAAUAAUAGAGCCUGUGUGGAAAAACAAAACAAAUAAGAGAAAAUCAAGCAACUUGCAUUCCCAGAAGAAAAAAAUUGAGUAACUGACAUAAACAAAAAGAUAAUGUACCAACAGAUGGGACUUAACUGAAGACAAUUGAUUGCUUGAGUGAUCAAACUGAAGAAACUGGAGAUAGAAAAUGCAAACCAAAGUUUUGGAAAUAUUGAGAAAAGAAUAAGAAGCUCCUAACAGGGCAGGGUGUAGUGGCUCUUGCCUGUAUUCACAGCACUCUGGGAAGCUGAGGUGGGAGGACUGUUUGAGCCUAGGAGCUCGAGAC
rnacentral:lncRNA from 1 species